rnacentral:lncRNA from 1 species
GUUUUCUCAACAUAAAUCUGCUAUAAUUAAAAAUUACAGGCCUUCGGGAAGUGUCGAGUCCGGGACGCCCAGCGCGGGCCGGAGCAGGGGGAAGGGAAGCGCAGCUCGGUCCGCGUGGGUGGAGGGGACGUGAAGCCGCCCUGAGGUGAUGGUCGAGGAAGGGCUCUACGGCUCCCAAGCUAGGCCAAAUGCCUCCGGCGGCCGCGCCCGGGCGCCCCUUCCCCUGUGGGGCAACCCUAGCCGGGGACGCGUGAACCACCUCCGUAGCUGCCCCACCAGCACCCCCAGCCAUGCGCCCCUGCACCAUGCAGCUGCCCUGCGCAUGGAGCCGCGAGGGACAGCAGGCCCAGCCCUCAGCACCACCUGCCUGCCAGGAGGUUCGGGAAACUGGCGCCGCAGCGGAGAGGGCAUUGGUCCAACGCCUCCCCCGGGGCUCAGCUGCGGACCCCCAGGCAUAGGCACCCAUGACCCUUCUGUGUUGUUUGUCUUUGUAUAGUCUGCAGAUGUGGAUCCUGACUCCUGAGAGAAGUAGCUCACCGUGACGAAGCUGCCUUUGCUUUUAUCGAUUUGCAAAUCAAAGAAGGGGGACAUAUUGGGAGAAGGCCCCCCAAAAUCUGGCCAUAAACUGGCCACAAAACUGGCCAUAAAAUCUCUGCAGCACUGUGACAUGCUCAUGAUGGCCAUAACGCCCACGCUGGAAGGUUUUGGGUUUACCGGAAUGAAGGCAAGGAACACCUGGCCUGCCCAGGGCAGAAAACCACUUGAAGGCAUUCUUAAACCACAAACAGUAGCAUGAGCGAUCUGUGCCUUAAGGGCAUGUUCCUGCUGCAGAUAACUAGCCAGACCCACCCCUUUAUUUCAGGCCAUCCCUUCAUUUCCCAUAAGGGAUACUUUUAGUUAAUUGAAUAUCUAUAGAAACAAUGCUAAUGACUGGUUUGCUGUUAAUAAAUACGUGGGUAAAUCUCUGUUCGGGGCUCUCAGCUCUGAAGGCUGUGAGACCCCUGAUUUCCCACUUUACACCUCUGUAUUUCUGUGUGUGUGUCUUUAAUUCCUCUAGCACCACUGGGUUAGGGUCUCCCCGACUGAGCUGGUCUCGGCACUUCUCUUUGCCUUGAAAGCAGGUACAGCGGACCUUCCUGGCAUCAGAAAAAGGCCUCCAGAAAAAGAGACACAGGGUUAUGGACUUUCAGAGCCAGAAGAAGGUCAUCUCUCCUUUGCUUCUCGUAUGCUGGGAUCUGCCACAUCAAUGGCAACAGCUGGGCCUCCAGAAUUUGCUCCAGGGUGUUUGGAAGUCCUGACACCCCCCUGAUCUUCUCUGUAACAUGCACACUUUGACCUGUGUCAGUUUACUGGAACCACAUCAGGCUGGCCCUCUUCCUAGGACAAAAU